rnacentral:lncRNA from 1 species
AAAUAAUUUUCUCUCUCAGAGUCUGUCUCUCAGGGUCCUCUUUUCCCAGUCCCUCUGGCCAGGAGUCUUCUAAGUUUUCCACACAGUUGCACAGUUCUGUGUUAUUGGAUAUACCCGGGGGAUGAAGUAAUGAAAGAAAAGACUGAAAAUAAAAAUGGGAAUUCCUUCCACAGUCUUUACACACAGAGGCCCCUAGAGGCCCAUUUUCCUGGUUCCUCUGUCCAGAAAGAUGGAUUUCUAGGGCUUACAUUCAUGCUGCUGCCUCUACAUGCACUGAAGCUGGUCAAUGAAGCUGGCCUUGGGGCAGAGGGAGAGAAAAACACAUUGGGAUUUCACCUUCAACCUCCACUUUCCACCUCUCAGGGUCCCAGUUUCUUAGUACUCUGACAGAAAACCAGGGUUUUCUCAAAGUUUUUGCUGUCUGUUCCCAUCACAUUGUUCCCUGAUUUGGCCCAUCCUUAAGCCAAGACCAGAUGAUCUUGAAGGAAAAUAUCCUAGGAAACUCACUAUUGGCAUACUGGUCAUUUUUUGAGUUUUGAUGUCGCUCCUCAACCUCCUUGCUAUUAUUUUGUUUCGGAAUCAUCCUCAGCCAUGUGAAGACCAUGAUUGCUUUCCCUUCAGCCUUCCACCUUUGAUUUUAGAAUGCCAAGCUGACAUUUUGAGUUUUUAUGAGAAACCAGAAAAUUUGGUGUGAAGACCCUAAGUGGUGUGUCUGACUUACAGCAGGCCCACACUGCUGAUUUAUGGUGUACCAGUGGAAGACAGGAGAGACAAAACCUGACAACCAGAAAAGAAAAAAAAAUAAAUUGAAGAAUCUUUCUAAUUUUCUGCUCAGCAGUGGCUAAUGUUGUUGUCCUCUUGUUGUUGAUUACUUCCAUCCACUCAAUUUGGCUGAUCUCCAGGGGGCCUACCCUUCUGUCCACUAAAACCUGGCAGCCUGUUUUUUGUUUUGUUUUAUCUUUAACUGAUGUGCUUUCAUUUUGUUUUAUUCUAUUUUGAUUGUUUUUCAUUUUGGGUGAGUUUACAGCACACUAAUACCAAAGAAAAUGAAUAAAGAAAACAUUAGAAUAAAACUAUGUUGGAGGAGAAGGGGAACAACAAACUCUACAGGAAUUCUGAUAGCUUUCUAUUUCCUUUUUUUGAAGUUUACUUUUUGCAAGUAGUAUUCUCAAUUGUAAAUCCACAAAAUAUUGAGAAUAACUAGGAUCUGCAAAUGGAUUUUUGUUAAUAAACAUUCUUUACUAGAUUUCCAACUGUAUUUCCCCAAUGGAGAACUUGCAUAAUCUCAGGGAGAGGUUUGAGAGCCAGAUUUUUCUCAGGAAAAGAGUAUUUCCUGAAUAAAUACAUUGUGGGAAUGCAAAUGUUUGAGCAGUUUCCCAGGGGAGGUUUAAGGCCGUGUGACUGCACAUUUGCCACGUACCAAAUUCUAACAAGUCGGCACAGAGCCUGCUUUAUCUCUUUAUUAAUGUCCCUGUUGGGUCCCACAUUUUUGGGAUGUCGAGUCAUCACUAUAAAGAUUAUUUUGGCAUUAAGGUUCUUUAUAUAUGACAUAAAAUUAAAAAGAUAAAAUUUUGUAAAUUUGGCUGUAUGCUGAAUAUAUACCACAUUUAUUUAAAGCAAUAAUAUUAGAAGUGCAAAGAUGUAUCAUUAUAAAACAUCAUUUUUUAUAAUGGUUUACUAUUUUCACAGUGGUUUCUUAUCUGUUAGACUACAUAUUGACAAUAAUACUGUGCAAGUAUGUUGAAUAGUGCUAUGCAGGUACGUUGAAUUUAUCUUAGAGCUACAUAAUAUAUUUUUCAGCAUUAUAUGACUAGAUGGCUAGUAAGUGACAAAGGCAGAACUAGAACCUGGACUACAUUAUCCCAGAACAUCCUGAAAAAUAAACAAAAUAUAUGAAAUAGAGGCCAAAGCCCAACCCAGGAAAAUAUAAUAAAUAAAUAUAUUAAUUAAAUUUGUCUAUAUUUAUUUUUGAUUCAGUGAGUUGCCUAAAUGUUUUCUAUUUCUAAAUUAAAAUCUAAAUUUCAUUUAUAUUUAUUAUCAUAAAGUACUUCUACAUCACUCUAUCCACAUAUAUAGGAAUCUGGGUUUCAGCCCAAACCCUAAUUAACCUCAUCAGAGAAGGGCGUAGGUCUAAAGCUUAGAAACCUGGAGAAUUGCCUCUCACAGCUGGGAAUAGGGCAAAGAAGUUCACCCAACAGUCAAACCCUGAAUGAAUGGAUUAGUACAAGCCUAAACAAGAGAAUGUCUAAAGAGAUACUUGAAAAUCUAUUAAGUAUUAUAUUUAUUUUCCCUUCAAACUUGAAAGGAAAUACAAAGCAUUUAUAUACCAGUUUUUUUUAAAAAAAGUCUUGGCUAAAGAGUUGAAAAGAGCAAACCCUGUUUUAUUUCAGCCUCCUUUCAAACAUGUUAUUAUGGUCAAUUCAAAUUAUCUGGGAUGAAUUGUUAUAUGAAGAUUAAGUCUGUUUAGAUUUGCUCUGUAGAUGCCAUUUUAUUACUAUAGGAACGUUAAAUUACAGUUUGUCCUUCUAAUUAUAACAAUCAUAAUGUAAAUAGCAGUUUCCAUUGUUGAAUCUUUAUUAUUAUUGCUUUUCUCAUUUGUAUCUCAUACUCACCUUAAAAGAACAUUAUCUUAUGCUCAUUUUAUAAAGGUAAGAAACAAUGGUUCAAAAUAACAAAUUGUCCAAAAAACAGCAGUGUAACUAUAUUUGACCCUGAAGCAAAUGCCUUUAAUCACUGCUCUAUGCUGUCAGAUUUUUUAAGAUAGUGUUGG